rnacentral:rRNA from 1 species
AAGUCGUAACAAGGUCUCCGUUGGUGAACCAGCGGAGGGAUCAUUACCGAGUUUACAACUCCCAAACCCCUGUGAACAUACCUUAAUGUUGCCUCGGCGGAUCAGCCCGCGCCCCGUAAAACGGGACGGCCCGCCAGAGGACCCAAACUCUAAUGUUUCUUAUUGUAACUUCUGAGUAAAACAAACAAAUAAAUCAAAACUUUCAACAACGGAUCUCUUGGUUCUGGCAUCGAUGAAGAACGCAGCAAAAUGCGAUAAGUAAUGUGAAUUGCAGAAUUCAGUGAAUCAUCGAAUCUUUGAACGCACAUUGCGCCCGCGUGGUAUUCCGGCGGGCAUGCCUGUUCGAGCGUCAUUUCAACCCUCAAGCCCCCGGGUUUGGUGUUGGGGAUCGGCUCUGCCCUUCUGGGCGGCGCCGCCCCCGAAAUACAUUGGCGGUCUCGCUGCAGCCUCCAUUGCGUAGUAGCUAACACCUCGCAACUGGAACGCGGCGCGGCCAUGCCGUAAAACCCCAACUUCUGAAUGUUGACCUCGGAUCAGUGAGGAAUACCCGG